GAUAAAAAUACCACAUUAACCUUACUAUAUUCUUACAUAACAAAUAUAGCCUUCUCGUCUCACAACGUCAAAACUAAAAGAUUCAAAAUAUCGAAGAUGAAAACAACAUCAUAUUAUAGUUUGGUCAAUGAUUGAAAUUGGAAAACUAAAUCGUGAUACGUCGGAAACAACAUUCUAUAAAGACUACCGUGAUUGAAACACCCACAUUAUUUUACAACAAACGAAUAUUUACAUUUUUUUACCUAUUACGAUUGUAUAUAAUAAUAUGUAAUAUAAAUGGUAUUUUAUUAAAAAAUAUGUUUUAGUAAUCUUACAAAUCAAUGAUUUAACAACCUCUACAAAAUAUUAGGACUCA